GACGUAGGGCGCGAGCGUUGUCCGGAUUUAUUGGGCGUAAAGAGCUCGUAGGCGGCUUGUCGCGUCGUCCGUGAAAACCCACAGCUCAACUGUGGGCUUGCGGUCGAUACGGGCAGGCUAGAGUUCGGUAGGGGAGACUGGAAUUCCUGGUGUAGCGGUGAAAUGCGCAGAUAUCAGGAGGAACACCAAUGGCGAAGGCAGCUCGCUGGGACGGUACUGACGCUGAGGCGCGAAAGCGUGGGGAGCAAACAGG
rnacentral:rRNA from 1 species